AGUCCAAACUGGCCCACAGUCAACACAAAUAUUUUUAUCACUUCAUUCGAAGCAAUCCAAGACAAAUUUUUUGUUUCGGCAAUGUUCUACGCAUCUACUUUCAGCAGUUGAUCCGCAAACACCCAUUCGAACGCAACCUGUUUGAAUUCGUCGACGUUGGAUUCGGUGAAAACUUUCGUCAAGGACAGCGCAUCUGAAAGAAUAAUAAAUUUUCUUCUUUGUCUCUCUACCGGCCGGAAAAACACGAACAAAUUUCCACGGUGCCUCAGUUUUCCCGAUCGGAAUGUGACAUACUGUUUGAAAUUUUCUGUCAUGAGAAGCAGCUAAAGUGAACAAGAAAACAGCUGAUAGCGGAAUAUACAAACUGAGCAAGAACGGGAAAAUCAAAACAAAUAAAGAAAAAGUAGAGGUAAGGACUAGAAAAGCACGUUGUUUCAAACAUCGCGGUAAAGCAGAAGUGCGCAUGGGCAAAAAUACGAGUAAUAUAAGACCUGGGUCAUAAAUUUUAACAAGGCAGUAGAAAUAAUUUUGCGAAAGAAAAUGUUUUGAUCGAUAAAACCAAGCUUCCGUCCUCGAAAACAAGCUCGAACGAAGUGUUCCGCUGCGGUGUUCGAUCAGUUAGUGUGAAAAAAUCGGACCCCAUAUUCCAAUCACUGUUCAACUAUCACACACCACGAACACUAAAGUGCAAGCCAUCUGCUCCAGACUCACCUCUAAGGGUGUUUUGAUACGAGAUCAUAGAAGGAGGUGUUUAGGCCGAGCACGAAACGAUGGCUACACUGUUACGAGCUUUUUCGAGCUUUUUUUCCAAACAUCCUUUGGCGGGAAACAGUUUGGUGUACGGAAGCUUAUAUGUGGGGGCAGAAUUUUCGCAGCAAACUAUAACAAGAAAAUUCUUGACAGAUCCCCCACAAGAUAUCGACAAGCCAACUUUAGGUCGCUAUGCCAUAAUGGGAACGUUUGUCUAUUCACCAAUCCUGUAUAACUGGUACAAAUGGUUGGAUCGAUCAUUUCCCGGCACAGCCAAACGAAUCGUGGUUAAGAAACUACUGUUGGAUCAGUUCAUACUAACACCCCCAUUGUUGGUUAUAUUCUUCACGGGUAUGUCUCUGAUGGAACGUCAAUCAAACAUGCUGGAAGAGUGCAAGCAAAAGUUCAUGCCAACCUUUGCUCGAUCCUGUCUUUUCUGGAUUCCAGCACAGACGCUCAACUUUCUGCUAGUGCCCCCGAAAUUCCGAGUCGUAUACGUCGGAUCAUGUGCCUUCGCCUGGGUGAACAUACUGUGCUGGGUCAAGCGACAGAAAAUUAUUGGCAAAUCGAGCGCCUCCGAAGUAAACUAACGAAACAUUUAAAUUAAAAUAGUAAUGUAUUUUGCUAAGCGAAAGAUUUAAAGCACAUAUUUGCCUUCUCAAAAUGAUAUGUGCGAGUCAUUUAUUAAACCUGUUCAACGGGUCGGUAAUGUAAUUAUAUCAGCUAACAAAUUGUAAAUAGUCAUUAUUUUAGUAUACCAUCAUCAUACCAGAGCGGGUCUAAAUUUAGCUGUGCCAUUACUGGCCGGGAAAAAAUCUUUACACCUUACAUACGUUUCGUACUCCCGAUCCAAAAAGGCAACGAAGGAUGUGCGUGAGUUGGCCCCAUUGUAUACAAAAUAAAAAUUGAUUGUAAACAAAUCACUCCUAGUCUCGGCGAACCCCGACGCAAACUGUUGUAUAUAAUAAAAUUAAUACAAAAAUAAAAACAAUGAAUGGAAGGAAACGGUAAAAUUUAUACGGUCAGACAAA